UACGGAGGGUGCAAGCGUUAUCCGGAUUCACUGGGUUUAAAGGGUGCGUAGGUGGGCAGGUAAGUCCGUGGUGAAAUCCCUGAGCUUAACUCGGGAACUGCCAUGGAUACUAUUUGUCUUGAAUAUUGUGGAGGUAAGCGGAAUAUGUCGUGUAGCGGUGAAAUGCUUAGAUAUGACAUAGAACACCAAUUGCGAAGGCAGCUUACUACACAGUUAUUGACACUGAGGCACGAAAGCGUGGGGAUCAAACAGG
rnacentral:rRNA from 1 species